GAAAAGUAUAGGGUGAAUAUCUCCUGGGCCACACCAUGAGCUAUGGCAAGUUCAGUUGGAGAUUUGGUUCCUUAUGAACUGCAGUUCGUCUGAAUUUGAAUUGAUCAGGUGAUCUUCAAAUUGCCAAACUCUGAGCCGAAAUGUAGCUGAAUCACCAACCUAAGGCAUCGCACAAUGGAUGAACGUGUUCGUUUUGAUUUGUGAUUUGGAAUUCUGCCC